GCGUGUAGGAUGAAGGCCCUCGGGUCGUAAACUACUGUCAGGAGGGACGAAUGACUUGAGGCUAAUACCCUCGAGGGUUGACGGUACCUCCAAAGGAAGCGCCGGCUAACUCCGUGCCAGCAGCCGCGGUAAUACGGAGGGCGCAAGCGUUGUUCGGAAUUACUGGGCGUAAAGAGCGUGUAGGCGGUUUGGUCAGUCGGAUGUGAAAGCCCCGGGCUCAACUCGGGAAUUGCACCCGAAACUGCCAGGCUAGAGUCCCGGAGAGGAAGGCGGAACUCCCAGUGUAGGGGUGAAAUCCGU
rnacentral:rRNA from 1 species